rnacentral:rRNA from 1 species
GACGAACGCUGGCGGCGUGCUUAACACAUGCAAGUCGAACGGAAAGGCCCUGCUUUUGUGGGGUGCUCGAGUGGCGAACGGGUGAGUAACACGUGAGUAACCUGCCCUUGACUUUGGGAUAACUUCAGGAAACUGGGGCUAAUACCGGAUAGGAGCUCCUGCUGCAUGGUGGGGGUUGGAAAGUUUCGGCGGUUGGGGAUGGACUCGCGGCUUAUCAGCUUGUUGGUGGGGUAGUGGCUUACCAAGGCUUUGACGGGUAGCCGGCCUGAGAGGGUGACCGGCCACAUUGGGACUGAGAUACGGCCCGGACUCCUACGGGAGGCAGCAGUGGGGAAUAUUGCACAAUGGGCGGAAGCCUGAUGCAGCAACGCCGCGUGCGGGAUGACGGCCUUCGGGUUGUAAACCGCUUUCGCCUGUGACGAAGCGUGAGUGACGGUAAUGGGUAAAGAAGCACCGGCUAACUACGUGCCAGCAGGCGCGGUGAUACGUAGGGUGCGAGCGUUGUCCGGAUUUAUUGGGCGUAAAGGGCUCGUAGGUGGUUGAUCGCGUCGGAAGUGUAAUCUUGGGGCUUAACCCUGAGCGUGCUUUCGAUACGGGUUGACUUGAGGAAGGUAGGGGAGAAUGGAAUUCCUGGUGGAGCGGUGGAAUGCGCAGAUAUCAGGAGGAACACCAGUGGCGAAGGCGGUUCUCUGGGCCUUUCCUGACGCUGAGGAGCGAAAGCGUGGGGAGCGAACAGGCUUAGAUACCCUGGUAGUCCACGCUGUAAACGGUGGGUACUAGGUGUGGGGUCCAUUCCACGGGUUCCGUGCCGUAGCUAACGCUUUAAGUACCCCGCCUGGGGAGUACGGCCGCAAGGCUAAAACUCAAAGGAAUUGACGGGGCCCCGCACAAGCGGCGGAGCAUGCGGAUUAAUUCGAUGCAACGCGUAGAACCUUACCUGGGUUUGACAUGGAUCGGGAGUGCUCAGAGAUGGGUGUGCCUCUUUUGGGGUCGGUUCACAGGUGGUGCAUGGCUGUCGUCAGCUCGUGUCGUGAGAUGUUGGGUUAAGUCCCGCAACGAGCGCAACCCUUGUUCACUGUUGCCAGCACGUUAUGGUGGGGACUCAGUGGAGACCGCCGGGGUCAACUCGGAGGAAGGUGGGGAUGACGUCAAGUCAUCAUGCCCCUUAUGUCCAGGGCUUCACGCAUGCUACAAUGGCUGGUACAGAGAGUGGCGAGCCUGUGAGGGUGAGCGAAUCUCGGAAAGCCGGUCUCAGUUCGGAUUGGGGUCUGCAACUCGACCUCAUGAAGUCGGAGUCGCUAGUAAUCGCAGAUCAGCAACGCUGCGGUGAAUACGUUCCCGGG